CUGGAGGUAUCAGAAGUGCGAAUGCUGACAUAAGUAACGAUAAAGCGGGUGAAAAGCCCGCUCGCCGGAAGACCAAGGGUUCCUGUCCAACGUUAAUCGGGGCAGGGUGAGUCGACCCCUAAGGCGAGGCCGAAAGGCGUAGUCGAUGGGAAACGGGUUAAUAUUCCCGUACUUGGUGUUACUGCGAAGGGGGGACGGAGAAGGCUAUGUUGGCCGGGCGACGGUUGUCCCGGUUUAAGCGUGUAGGUGUGUGUUCCAGGUAAAUCCGGUUCACUUUAACACUGAGGCGUGACGACGAGGCACUACGGUGCUGAAGCAACAAAUGCCCUGCUUCCAGGAAAAGCCUCUAAGCAUCAGGUAACAUCAAAUCGUACCCCAAACCGACACAGGUGGUCAGGUAGAGAAUACCAAGGCGCUUGAGAGAACUCGGGUGAAGGAACUAGGCAAAAUGGUGCCGUAACUUCGGGAGAAGGCACGCUGACACGUAGGUGAAGUGAUUUACUCAUGGAGCUGAAGUCAGUCGAAGAUACCAGCUGGCUGCAACUGUUUAUUAAAAACACAGCACUGUGCAAACACGAAAGUGGACGUAUACGGUGUGACGCCUGCCCGGUGCCGGAAGGUUAAUUGAUGGGGUCAGCGCAAGCGAAGCUCCUGAUCGAAGCCCCGGUAAACGGCGGCCGUAACUAUAACGGUCCUAAGGUAGCGAAAUUCCUUGUCGGGUAAGUUCCGACCUGCACGAAUGGCGUAAUGAUGGCCAGGCUGUCUCCACCCGAGACUCAGUGAAAUUGAACUCGCUGUGAAGAUGCAGUGUACCCGCGGCAAGACGGAAAGACCCCGUGAACCUUUACUAUAGCUUGACACUGAACAUUGAGCCUUGAUGUGUAGGAUAGGUGGGAGGC
rnacentral:rRNA from 1 species